ACCGUUGGUUCAUGUGAGAGCCUGGUGCUGGGUGUUCAUGGCCUGUGUGUGAAAUAUGCCUCCCUUCAGACCCUGCUGGGUCAGCACAUUACCUAUUUGACA